AACGCGAAGAACCUUACCAGGUCUUGACAUCCCAAUGAAAACAUUAGAGAUAGUGUCCCUCUUCGGAGCAUUGGAGACAGGUGGUGCAUGGUUGUCGUCAGCUCGUGUCGUGAGAUGUUGGGUUAAGUCCCGCAACGAGCGCAACCCUUGAUCUUAGUUGCCAGCACGUUAAGGUGGGCACUCUAGGAUGACUGCCGGUGACAAACCGGAGGAAGGUGGGGAUGACGUCAAAUCAUCAUGCCCCUUAUGACCUGGGCUACACACGUACUACAAUGGCCGAUACAACGGGAAGCGAAACCGCGAGGUGGAGCCAAUCCUAUCAAAGUCGGUCUCAGUUCGGAUUGCAGGCUGCAACUCGCCUGCAUGAAGUCGGAAUUGCUAGUAAUCGCGGAUCAGCAUGCCGCGGUGAAUACGUUCCCGGGCCUUAAGUCACACCGAUAGC
rnacentral:rRNA from 1 species